rnacentral:rRNA from 1 species
AUGGCACAGCUCUUUGGCCCCAUGAGGGAGGGGACCACGGCAGCCGCCAUACAAAUACAAGACAUGGAACCGGACAUCUUCAAGGCACUGCUUGGUUUCGUCUACACCGACUUGAUGCCAGAGAUGGAGGCGGAAAGAGAAGCAGAAGUAGAAGAAGGUGGAGCUGACGAGGUGACGUGGCUGCGUCACUUGCUUGCCGCGGCGGAUAGGUUUGAUCUCCAGAGGCUCAAGUCGAUGUGUGAAGAGAGGUUGUUGGAGCACAUAGAUUUGAGCUCGGUGUCGGCCAUCCUUGCCGUGGCAGCGCAGCUCCAAUGCUGUGGACUCAGGGAGGCGUGCCUGGAGUUCCUCAAAGUUCAGUCAGCUGCAGACUUGGGAGAAGUCAUGGCGACCAGCGAUUGGGAGCACAUAGGUGCAACCGAUCACUCCGUUCUGAACCAGCUCAUCGCCAAGCUUGCUUCCAAAGUUUAG